UAACCAAUACUGAGCUAGUAUACAUCUAGAUGAGAUUCUUACACAUCCUUACAGAAAUCGGAGAGUAAUAGAAGGGAAGACCAGAUAGUCUGGUAAGCAGAGUGGGUUUUUAUUACAAGUACGGAAUAAAGAACCAAACUCGAAACGUCUUAUCGUUAAUUGAUUACGACCCUGUGUGACACUGUAAUACCUGCACUGUUGGCGUUAACACAUAAUUAAGGAAGCAAUGGCAAUACAAAGCUGGACUAGCAAGGAUAUCAGCAACAGACCUAUUCAAGAAACAAAGCCACACGUUACGAAUCCUACUAGGAUUUUCCCUUAUCCAACAAUCAUUCAAAAUG